rnacentral:rRNA from 1 species
GGCUAAAUACUCCUGACUGACCGAUAGUGAACCAGUACCGUGAGGGAAAGGCGAAAAGAACCCCGGCGAGGGGAGUGAAAAAGAACCUGAAACCGUGUACGUACAAGCAGUGGGAGCACAGAGCAAUCUGUGUGACUGCGUACCUUUUGUAUAAUGGGUCAGCGACUUAUAUUCUGUAGCAAGGUUAACCGAAUAGGGGAGCCGAAGGGAAACCGAGUCUUAACUGGGCGUUAAGUUGCAGGGUAUAGACCCGAAACCCGGUGAUCUAGCCAUGGGCAGGUUGAAGGUUGGGUAACACUAACUGGAGGACCGAACCGACUAAUGUUGAAAAAUUAGCGGAUGACUUGUGGCUGGGGGUGAAAGGCCAAUCAAACCGGGAGAUAGCUGGUUCUCCCCGAAAGCUAUUUAGGUAGCGCCUCGUGAAUUCAUCUCCGGGGGUAGAGCACUGUUUCGGCAAGGGGGUCAUCCCGACUUACCAACCCGAUGCAAACUGCGAAUACCGGAGAAUGUUAUCACGGGAGACACACGGCGGGUGCUAACGUCCGUCGUGAAGAGGGAAACAACCCAGACCGCCAGCUAAGGUCCCAAAGUCAUGGUUAAGUGGGAAACGAUGUGGGAAGGCCCAGACAGCCAGGAUGUUGGCUUAGAAGCAGCCAUCAUUUAAAGAAAGCGUAAUAGCUCACUGGUCGAGUCGGCCUGCGCGGAAGAUGUAACGGGGCUAAACCAUGCACCGAAGCUGCGGCAGCGACGCUUAUGCGUUGUUGGGUAGGGGAGCGUUCUGUAAGCCUGUGAAGGUGUGCUGUGAGG